AAUUUUAUUUAAGGUCUGACCUGCCCUAUGAGAAAUUAAAUGGCCGCGGUAUUUUAACCGUGCAAAGGUAGCAUAGUCACUUGUCUCUUAAUUGGAGGCUUGAAUGAAGGGUUGGACGAGAUAUAAACUUUCUUUAUUAUAUACAGUUGAAUUUGACUUUUGAGUCAAAAGGCUUAGAUUUAUUUAUAGGACGAGAAGACCCUAUAGAAUUUUAUAUUUUUAUUUAAUUAACCUAUUUAUUAAUAAUUGGGUUUUUUUAAUAUAAGUAUUUUGUUGGGGCGAUGGGAAGAUUUUUUUAACUCU
rnacentral:rRNA from 2 species